CCACACCCUCACAGCUGAGCCUGCUGCGGUUGCUGCUGACUUCAAAGGCACUGCUUCCCUUGGAUCCACAUCAAGGACUGGAAUGAGAAAAGGGUCCCCUGACCUUCUUAUAUCACCUCGCCUAAGUGUCCCCAGCGGUGCUCUGCAGAGCAGAGGCCCCAGCUCCAAAACAACAGAACACAAAGUACUUUAACCUUUGAAUGUGGCAAGACCUCCGUGAAAAAUCGUUUCUCAGCCCAUUUGAUGGGAAAAGGGUGCUAUUUUUGUGACUACCUGUAACAUCUGAGUAUGCUCGUCAGAAGUCACUCCGAGGAAAAAUCUGAUUAUUAGUUGGGAAAAUGGGGCAAGGAGGAGGCAGAGAAGAGAAGUAGCUCUGCUGGGUAUGUGGCAGUGUGACUUCUAGAACUGUUUGUGUCCAUGUGGACUUGGACAAGCCACUUCAGGACUCUGGGUCUGGGUCUUCUCAUCCAAAACAAGGUAGGGAAGAGCCGCGCAGCCAGCAGAGCUGCUGCCUUCAGCACUGGGGACCCCAGGGCAGACAUAGGGCUUCUGCCUUCUGCCCAUUCCACAUGCUGGAGUCCUCCUCGGGGUGCAGUCCUGGCAAGCGUGUGUGUCUGUGGUCAAGACGACAGACCUUUCCUGCCAUUGCUUUAGUGGGAAAAUUGCAGAAAAAGGACUACAAACACCUCUGCAGUCUUCCUUUGAUUAAUGAAAUCAGGGCAUUACUCAGAAUUGCUCCUGGGGGCGCAGUGACCCACGCAUGUAACCCAGUAUUUUGGGAGGCUGAGGCAGGUGGAUCACAUGAGGUCAGGAGUUCGAGACCAGCCUGGCCAACAUGGUGACACUCUUCUCUACCAAAAAGGCAAAAAUUAGCCGGGUGUGGUGGAGGGCACCUGUAAUUCCAGCUGCUUGGGAGGCUGAGGCAGGAGGGUCACUUGAACCUGGGAGGCAGAGGUUGCAGUGAGCCAAGAUCACGCCACUGCACUCCAGCCUAGGUGACAGAGCAAGACUCCAUCUCAAAAAAAAAAAAAAUGCCCCUGGGAUGUGUAUUAAUCACAGGUUAAUGACUUACAAAUUCAUAUCGUGUCAUAUGUAUGACAGAUUAUAUUUAGAUGUAUUUAUAUUACAUGUAUGACACUACAUGAGUACAAAUUACAGGUGUUUGUACAGAUAUUUGUAUAUUUAUUAAAAAUAUCUAUUAUAAGUAUAGAUAGGUAAUUACCUACUAUUUUAUAGGUAUUUGUCUCUAUAGACACAUAUAUAUGGACAGGUUUUUUUGUGUGUAUAUAUAUAUAUGCACACAUAUAUAUAACACUAUAUCAAUACAAAUCACAGGUAUUUUUAUAUAUAUUACAAAUACCUAUUAGAGAUAUGUAUUAGUAAAUGUCAUAUACAUAUUUAUAUAUAUAUACAUGUAAAUAUAUAGGUAUUUGUGUGUAUAUGACACUAUAUGAAUACAAAUCACAGGCAUAUACUUACACACAGAUACGGAGUCACCCAAGGAUUCCCUAUAAGGCCAUGGACAAAAAGCAUGUGUCUCCCAUGGUGGACUGAAUUGUGUCACCCUCAAAAGAUACACUGAAGUCCUAACCCUGGUACCUGUGAAUAUGACCUUAUUUUUGAAAUAAAAAUAUAUUUGCAGAUGUAAUUAUGAUGUAGGUGGAGAUGAGAUUAUUCUGGAGUAGGGUGGGCCCUCAAUCCAAUACGGCUGGUGUCCUUAUAAGAAGAGGGGAGAGGAACAGAGACAGACACUGUCAUCCACAAGGAGACCACCAUGUGAAGACACAGAUGCAUAGGGAAGGGCCACGUGAAGAUGACAGCAGUGACGGGAGUGGGGCAGCUACAAGCCAAGGAAUGUGGAGGAGUGCCGGCCACCACCAGAAGCUGAGAAGAGGCAAGGAAGGACCCUUCCCCACAGCCUUUAGGAGGAACAUGGCCCUGCCGAAACCUUGAUAUCACACCUCUAGCCUCCAGAACAACGAUGCAAUCAAUUUCUGUUGUUUUCAGACACUCAGUAAAGUACCCGCGUGGCUAGGGGAGCCCUAGGAAGCGAGUAUAGCUCUCGUGGCCGAAUGGAAUGAAGCGAAGCCUUCAUGUCAGCAUUGGGCUUGCAGGUGCUGAGCCCCCGAUGGUGGCCCCUCUUCCCGGCUUUCUCUCAGGGGCAUGGGUGGGGUGGAGAUAUUCAACUACUUCCAACGGAAACCAACACUUGAAAGGUUAUGAAGGCCCCUAAACCUCCUGCUCUUCCAUGGUGAUGGCUGACAGCUAAAGCCACACUGCCACUACCCUAAGCCCAAGCUUGAUCACCUGGAAAUGGGGACUGAGAGAGGACGAGAACAGCACAGCCUUUGAGCUCUCAUGGGGUGGCGUAAAUUUAUGGUCAAUAUGCCUCCAGAUCAGAGGUCCUGCUGUUAGAGAGUUUUCUUUUUUUGCUUUAGUGGUACACAGGAAUUCUCCCCCAGCCCCCUCAAGAUACUCACACAUCUUUUUAAAAUUUGCACCUUUUUUUCAGUCUGGUUUCCUAUGGUGAAGGGGAGGCUAGGAAAUGCCCAAUAAAUCAUCUGUCUGUCUUCACUCAAUUGAAAGGCAGGAAAUGCAGAGAACAGUCACGUUACCUUUCCACUUUGCAUAUAACAAGAGCUAUCAGGACCUGUUCCUUUGAAGGGGAGGCCCUUCUGACAGCAAUAUUAAAUUUUCGAGGCCACUGGAGUUUGUUUCUUGGGACCAGACCCAAAGUGGGCAGGCAUGUGGGAUGUUGGCUCUUUCCCCUACCAGCCCCUUCUAGGAGUAACUUCUUGGGCUUACCCUGGGAAAUCUACUCAGUCAGCAAUGAUUUAGGGGCUCCAUGUGCACAGCACCAUUGUAAGUCUAUGUGGAUUAAAGGAAUUCUACUCUUGAGUCCUAAUUCUUAACAAAUUUACAUCUACAGACAGUCCUAGACUUAUAAUGAUUCAACUAAAUGAUUCCUUGACUUUAUGAUGGUGUGAAACUUCCAAUUUUA
rnacentral:lncRNA from 10 species